AAUGAUACUCCCGCAUUCGGUGCGGUCUGCCGGCAGGCAGAAGAUGCGGUUUCGUUUUGGGUUGAAUGAAUACCCGCGAAUGCAUUU
rnacentral:sRNA from 1 species